UGCGAGUCGAGAGGGUUCGGCCCUCGGCUGACGGCUCAGUAACACGUGGAUAAUCUGCCCUAAGGUGGAGGAUACCCUCGGGAAACUGAGAAUAAUACUCCAUAGGUCUAGGAUGCUGGAAUGCACUUAGACUCAAAGCUCUGGCGCCUUAGGAUGAGUCUGCGGACUAUCAGGUUGUAGUCAGGGUAAUGACCUGACUAGCCUACGACGGAUACGGGUUGUGAGAGCAAUAACCCGGAGAUGAUAUCUGAGACACGAUAUCAGGCCCUACGGGGCGCAGCAGGCGCGAAAACUUCACAAUGUGCGAAAGCACGAUGAGGGAAUCCCAAGUGCUUGCUCGUUAGAGUAAGCUGUUUCUAUGUUUAAAACGCAUGGAGAGUAAGGGCUGGGUAAGACGGGUGCCAGCCGCCGCGGUAAUACCUGCAGCUCUAGUGGUGACCGCUAUUAUUGGGCCUAAAACGUCCGUAGCCGGUUUAAUAAAUGCCUGGGUAAAUCGUGUAGCUUAGCUAUACGAAUUCCGGGUAGACUGUUAAACUUGAGACCGGGAGAAGUUAGAGGUACUCCUGGGGUAGAGGUGAAAUUCUGUAAUCCUAGGGGGACCACCAGUGGCGAAGGCGUCUGACUAGAACGGGUCUGACGGUGAGGGACGAAGCCCUGGGGCGCAAACCGGAUUAGAUACCCGGGUAGUCCAGGGUGUAAACGCUGCUUGCUUGAUGUUAGUCGGGCUCCGAGCCCGAUUAGUGUCGGAGAGAAGUUGUUAAGCAAGCUGCCUGGGAAGUACGGUCGCAAGACUGAAACUUAA
rnacentral:rRNA from 1 species